rnacentral:rRNA from 1 species
ACCGAAAGGUGGUCUAAUACCUUAUAGUAUCCAUCUCGUAUGGAUUAAAGCUUUAUGCGCUUUGGGAGGGGCCUGCGUUUGAUUAGCUAGUUGGUGAGGUAAAAGCUCACCAAGGCGACGAUCAAUAGCUGGUUUGAGAGGAUGACCAGCCACACUGGGACUGAGAUACGGCCCAGACUCCUACGGGAGGCAGCAGUAAGGAAUCUUCCACAAUGGGGGCAACCCUGAUGGAGCAAUACCGCGUGCAGGAUGAAGCGUUUCGGCGUGUAAACUGCUUUUAUCACCGAAGAUUAAGACUGUAGGUGAAGAAUAAGGACCGGCUAACUACGUG